rnacentral:lncRNA from 1 species
AUAUAAAAAUAAAAAAUGGUUAACCUUAGGACUCACUGAUGUUGGUCAUUGCCAUUGCAGUGUCCACUGGAUCGUGAACCUGCAGUGGAAGAGCCCACAGAAGAGGAGUGUGAUUGCGUCAAAGGUAGCCCAGGACCACCAGGACCUUCUGGACCAAGGGGCUUCCGUGGAGAGCAAGGCAGAGAAGGCCCUCCAGGUCCCGAUGGCAAGCAUGGGCGGCCAGGUCCACUGGGAGAGCCAGGAGAGACAGGUGUGCCCGGGGAGAAGGGUGAAGCAGGAGCAGCCGGCCAGACAGGAGACCCGGGGAUCAUAGGACUUAAAGGAGACCGAGGGGAACAAGGCCUUCCAGGAAUGCCGGGACCACCGGGACCGAAGGGUCCAAGUAUGUCACGAUCAAACAUAGGGACCAUUGGGAUGCCAGGAAAAAGGGUAAUUAUAUUUUCACAAUGUUAAUAUUCAUGUUAAAGUAACACUAUGGAGUUUCUGGAGCCACCAGGUAGGGGGCUACUUUCUGCUGGACUAUUCAGUAACUUAUUUGCUGUCUUGCUUUGUCUUGCUUGAUGUUUGACUGUGUUAAGGAAAGUUGUUGGCAAGCUAGCCAACUUAGCUAUCACAAUAACAUUACAAAGAAGCCGACGCAAGAGCACUUAUUACUAGCAUCAAUGUCCAAGCGUGUUAUAACAAGCUUGCUAACAUCGCUAACGAGAUGUCUUGCUAGCGGCUAAACUUGUUGAAAUUUGCUUACUUUGUUUAUGUCAAACUAGCGAGUCAACAUCUUUUCUAACACAGUCAAACAUCAAGCAAGUGCAACACAAGACAAAGCAAGACAGCAAAUAAGUUACUGAAUAGUCCAGCAGAAAGUAGCCCCCUACCUGGCGGCUCCAGAAACUCCACAGUGUUACUUUAACAUCUAAACUUGUAUUGAGAAACGUUGCAAUGAUCCUUUUCUGUAUUCCUGAAAUAUUGUUGUAAAUACGUUGUAAUGAGCCUUUUAUACUUUAGGGAUUGCCGGGUGGAAGGGGAGAAAAGGGACCCACGGGAGAGACAGGACCAAUGGU